rnacentral:rRNA from 1 species
UACACACCGCCCGUCACACCACGAAAGUCAGAUGUACCUGAAGUCGGUGCGCCAACCCGCAAGGGAGGUAGCCGCCCACGGUAUGUCUGGUAAUUGGGGUG